UGCGCCUUGCCAGCCCGCUCAGAAACUCAAAUGAAUUGACGGGGCCCGCACAAGCGGAGGAGCAUGUGGUUUAAUUCGAUGAUACGCGAGGAACCUUACCUGGGCUCGAACGUAAGAUGACUGUAGGUGAAAGCUUACAUCUCUUCGGAGCAUUUUACGAGGUGCUGCAUGGUUGUCGUCAGCUCGUGCCGUGAGGUGUCGGGUUAAGUCCCAUAACGAGCGCAACCCCUACCUUUAGUUGCCAUCAGGUAAUGCUGGGGACUCUAAAGGAACUGCCUACGCAAGUAGUGAGGAAGGCGGGGAUGACGUCAAAUCAGCACGGCCCUUACGUCCAGGGCUACACACGUGUUACAAUGGCCAGUACAGAGGGCAGCCACCCCGCGAGGGGGCGCUAAUCCUAAAAGCUGGUCCCAGUUCGGAUCGGAGUCUGCAACCCGACUCCGUGAAGCUGGAUUCGCUAGUAAUCGCGCAUCAGCCACGGCGCGGUGAAUACGUUCCCGGGCCUU
rnacentral:rRNA from 1 species